rnacentral:rRNA from 1 species
CCUACGGGCGGCAGCAGUGGGGAAUAUUGCACAAUGGGGGAAACCCUGAUGCAGCGCCGCCGCGUGAGUGAAGAAGUAUUUCGGUAUGUAAAGCUCUAUCAGCAGGGAAGAAAAUGACGGUACCUGACUAAGAAGCCCCGGCUAACUACGUGCCAGCAGCCGCGGUAAUACGUAGGGGGCAAGCGUUAUCCGGAUUUACUGGGUGUAAAGGGAGCGUAGACGGCAGCACAAGUCUGGAGUGAAAUGCCGGGGCUCAACCCCGGAACUGCUUUGGAAACUGUGCAGCUAGAGUGCAGGAGAGGUAAGCGGAAUUGCUGGUGUAGCGGUGAAAUGCGUAGAUAUUAGGAGGAACACCAGGGGCGAAGGCGGCUUACUGGACUGUAACUGACGUUGAGGCUCGAAGGCGUGGGGAGCAAACAGGAUUAGAUACCCUGGUAGUC